UACGUAGGGUGCAAGCGUUGUCCGGAAUUAUUGGGCGUAAAGAGCUCGUAGGCGGUUUGUCGCGUCUGCUGUGAAAACCCGAGGCUCAACCUCGGGCCUGCAGUGGGUACGGGCAGACUAGAGUGCGGUAGGGGAGAUUGGAAUUCCUGGUGUAGCGGUGGAAUGCGCAGAUAUCAGGAGGAACACCGAUGGCGAAGGCAGAUCUCUGGGCAUUAACUGACGCUGAGGAGCGAAAGCGUGGGGAGCGAACAGG
rnacentral:rRNA from 1 species